GCCUACUUAACUCAGUGGUUAGAGUAUCGCUUUCAUACGGCGAGAGUUAUUGGUUCAAAUCCAAUAGUAGGUA
rnacentral:tRNA from 1 species